rnacentral:rRNA from 1 species
GAUGAACGCUGGCGGCGUGCCUAAUACAUGCAAGUCGAGCGAACGGACGAGAAGCUUGCUUCUCUGAUGUUAGCGGCGGACGGGUGAGUAACACGUGGAUAACCUACCUAUAAGACGGGGAUAACUUCGGGAAACCGGAGCUAAUACCGGAUAAUAUUUUGAACCGCAUGGUUCAAAAGUGAAAGACGGUCUUGCUGUCACUUAUAGAUGGAUCCGCGCUGCAUUAGCUAGUUGGUAAGGUAACGGCUUACCAAGGCAACGAUGCAUAGCCGACCUGAGAGGGUGAUCGGCCACACUGGAACUGAGACACGGUCCAGACUCCUACGGGAGGCAGCAGUAGGGAAUCUUCCGCAAUGGGCGAAAGCCUGACGGAGCAACGCCGCGUGAGUGAUGAAGGUCUUCGGAUCGUAAAACUCUGUUAUUAGGGAAGAACAUAUGUGUAAGUAACUGUGCACAUCUUGACGGUACCUAAUCAGAAAGCCCCGGCUAACUACGUG